GACGAACGCUGGCGGCGUGCCUAACACAUGCAAGUCGAACGAGGUCCAUCCUUCGGGAGAAGACCUAGUGGCGAACGGGUGAGUAACACGUGAGGAACCUGCCCGAAGACCAGGAUAACCCUCCGAAAGGAGAGCUAAUACCGGAUACCCCCACCGAGCCGCAUGGUUGGUGAGGAAUGGAUUCCGCUUCGGAGGGCCUCGCGGCCUAUCAGCUAGUUGGUGGGGUAACGGCCCACCCAAAGGCAUCGACGGGUAGCUGGUCUGAGAGGACGAUCAGCCACACUGGGACUGAGACACGGCCCAGACUCCUACGGGAGGCAGCAGUGGGGAAUCUUGCGCAAUGGGCGAAAGCCUGACGCAGCAACGCCGCGU
rnacentral:rRNA from 1 species